UGAGGAAUAUUGCGCAAUGGAGGCAACUCUGACGCAGCCAUGCCGCGUGCAGGAUGAAGGCGCUACGCGUUGUAAACUGCUUUUAAUCGGGAAGAAACCCCGGGACGUGUCCCGGGUUGACGGUACCGAUGGAAUAAGCACCGGCUAACUUCGUGCCAGCAGCCGCGGUAAUACGAAGGGUGCAAGCGUUAUCCGGAUUCAUUGGGUUUAAAGGGUGCGUAGGCGGAACAAUAAGUCAGCGGUGAAAGCCCGUAGCUUAACUACGGAAUUGCCGUUGAUACUGUUGUUCUUGAGUACGUUUGACGUGGGCGGAAUGUGCCGUGUAGCGGUGAAAUGCUUAGAUAUGGCACAGAACACCGAUAGUGAAGACAGCUCACGAAGACGAAACUGACGCUGAGGCACGAAAGCGUGGGGAUCAAACAGG
rnacentral:rRNA from 1 species